UGAUGGCGAGUGGCGAACGGGUGAGUAAUGCAUCGGAACGUGCCCAAUCGUGGGGGAUAACUACGCGAAAGCGUAGCUAAUACCGCAUACGCACUAAGGUGGAAAGCGGGGGAUCGCAAGACCUCGCGCUCAUGGAGCGGCCGAUAUCUGAUUAGCUAGUUGGUGGGGUAAAAGCCUACCAAGGCGACGAUCAGUAGCUGGUCUGAGAGGACGACCAGCCACACUGGGACUGAGACACGGCCCAGACUCC
rnacentral:rRNA from 1 species